CCCCUCUCAGGAUCGCACUUGGAGAGUUUCCAGUACUCUACCAGUCUUGACUACAGGAGGGAGAGUCAAGAAGAGAUCUACCCAUUCCAUUCCUAGCUUGGGCAGUGGCUAGCGAGUGGAAAGCAGUCUGCUAUGAGU